rnacentral:rRNA from 1 species
CUGCUUGGCAGACUGCGAGUCUUGAGGUCGGCAGAGGUGGUCGGAACUCUAGGUGUAGCGGUGAAAUGCGUAGAUAUCUAGAGGAACGCCAAAGGUGAAAACAGGCCACUGGGCCGAAUCUGACGCUGAGGCACGAAAGCGUGGUAGCGAACGGGAUUAGAUACCCCGGUAGUCCACGCCCUAAACGAUGUGCACUAGUUCCCGGAGGUGCUGACACCAUCGGGGACGACGUAAAAACAUUAAGUGCACCGCCUGGGGAGUACGGUCGCAAGGCUAAAACUCAAAGGAAUUGACGGGGGCUCACACAAGCGGUGGAGCAUGUGGCUCAAUUCGAGGCAACGCGAAGAACCUUAUCCAGGGCUUGACAUGCACGGAUUAGUUCGUUGAAAGGCGAAUGACGCGGUUUCCGUGGAACGUGCACAGGUGCUGCAUGGCUGUCGUCAGCUCGUGCUGUGAAGUGUCGGGUUAAGUCCCUUAACGAGCGAAACCCCUAUCGCUAGUUGCCAGCGGGUAAUGCCGGGGACUCUAGCGAGACUGCCGGUGUUAAACCGGAGGAAGGUGGGGACGACGUCAAGUCCUCAUGGCCUUUAUGCCCUGGGCUGCACACGUGCUACAAUGGCGACUACAAAGCGACGCAAGGCCGCAAGGCGGAGCAAAUCGCAAAAAAGUCGCCUCAGUUCGGAUUGUGGUCUGCAACUCGACCACAUGAAGUUGGAAUCGCUAGUAAUCGCGUAUCAGCUACGACGCGGUGAAUAUGUUCCUGAGCCUUGCACACACCGCCCGUC